UCCUUUCAUCACGAUGACAACACAAGGCCAAGUGCAUUCCAUUCACGACCAGACACAGACUCAGAACGAAAUGUAACUGACACAGCUUGGGCUCCUGAGUGACCUUCAGAUGCCAGUAAUGUAAGAGCCAACUCUAUGAUGGGGAAUGGAGGUCCUUGAAACAGGAGGAAGAACUAAAAUGGUGCCCACAAGUCCUACAGAUCUGUGAUGCUACAACUGGUAUUUCCAAUGCUGACACUAAGUCUGCUCCUGCUUCAUGUAAGUGUGUUCUUGUCAAGAGUAGAGUCUUGGAGAAGGUACAGGAUAGACACCAAAGUGAUGGGGUCAUAGAAAUGCCUUGAUUGACAAGAAGUCUUGAAACAGCACCUGUGACGAUAAAGGUAUGCUGAAGAAGUCCUGAAGCACAUCUGACAUUCUUGACCUGUAAGUGGAGAAAGGAAACCUAAUAAGGGCUGCUGACGGAAAUCACGUAUAAGGAAAUGAACAUCGAGGUGGCACAUAUAAGCAUUAGUUGACUCGAUGGAAAACUUUGGAAGAAGUUCCAGCUUGUGCCUCGACUCAACUGACAGAGCCCUUUAUUUAAGACCAACAAAACGAACCUCAGGAGAGGAAGGUGAAGGUCAGUCUCUGGAGAGGUAAUAAGGAAUACAGCCAGGAUUUGAACCCAAAAAGCCUGGUGACAGAAUUCACUCUUAACCCUAUGCCAGCUCAAUAGUCAUUGAAGAGGACAAAAAACAGCAUGGUAUGCCAACCUAAGCUUUCGGCCAUCACCACCAGAAGGAGCCAGCAUCAUGGAGUAUCUGCUACGGGUCGAGCCUGAGGACAUGGACUUCCUCAGAGAGGAUUCAUAUUCCACAGAGCACAUCUGACUCAUACCCAGUCCUCUCCAGGAGAUCCACCCUAAUUAGUGGUUUCUUGAAACCCACUGCUCAUGGCACCAACUAGUCAGCACCAACUCAUCUCCACACGUCCACAGGUUUUUCCCCAUGGCCAUUACAGUGUCCAUCUUUAGCGACAUUUAUUCUUCUCCUCUUCCAACAGUCAUUAUGUGCUUCAUUUCAUGAAGGUGAUUCCUGGAGCCACAUUCAUGGCUAUCCCUAAUAGAGAAGCCAGAGCUGCAUGAGCCCCCACAUGCAUCCAGCCAACCAGCCUCUGCCGGCUCCAUUCCCUUGGCUCUCACAACCAAUAAGUUGGAGACCAGGCGCAGGAAUCCAUGCAUUCUCUUUGCAGCUCAUGGCCCCAGUAACUGUGGGAACAGAUGUCAUGGAAAUACAAAGUCAGAUCGCUGUUUCCAUGUCUUAUAAACGUAUCAGCAAGUGUUCAAUCUUGCCAGUAAUCAAAGAAAUAGUAACAAAGAUUAAGAUACCAUCUUUGUUCAAUUGAAAAACACCUUUAAAUCAUGAAACCUAAUGUUGUCUAAAAAGCAAUCAAUAGAGUCCUAAGGUAAUGACCUCAUCAUUAUCAGCAAAAAGAUUACUGCUGCCAGAACUAUUGUUAGCAUCAACAUUUACUAUCUUCUAUGAACCAGGCAACGUGCUAAGCAUUUUAUCCUACUUUUUCUAAUCCUUAGAGGCAGAUAGUAUAAUAUCCCAUUUUGUAGGAUGGGAGGUCACCGCUUCAGAAAAAGAAAUGGGUACUACCAUUUGGAAGGUCAAUCUGGCAAUAGAUACCAUUAUGAUUGAGAGAGCAGACUCUAGAUCCAGAAGGCCUGGUUUGAAUUCUAGCUCUGCCACUCAUGAGCAGUAGAACCUGGGUCAAAUUAUUUUACCUCCUGUGUCCUUUGUUUCCUCAUCUGUAAAAGGGGAUAAUGAUAUUUCCUCCUUGACAAGGUUAUUAUGAAGAUGGGAAUUAAUGUUUGCACAGUGCUUAGAGCAGUGCCUGGCACACAGGUAUGUAUUUUUAGCUGUUUUCACAAUUCCUAUUAUUUCAUCUUUACUCUUAAUGGCUAACUUUGCUUCCUGCUUCACUGAAAAAACUGAAGCUGCUACAAGAACUCCACAUCCUCCCACCCAGCAUAGCAGCAUAGAUACCCACAUUCUCUGCUCAGAUUACUAGAGAGGCUUUUCCAUGCUCCUGUCAAAGCCAGCCUCUCUGCUAGUACACAAGAUCUCUACCCUACUCAUAUGCUCAAAGAGAUGACUCCAGCAGCUCUUCCCUCAUCCUACACCAAAUUUCCCCUUUCUACUGGAACUCUCUCCUUAGCAUAUAAAAAUGCUAUUAUUUGUCUCAUCCUAGUCAGGAAAAAAUGAAAGCUUUCUUUUAAUUCUGUGUGCCCCCUCAGCUAUUCCCCCAACUUUGUUCCUUUUGCAAUGAAACUUCUAAAAAAAUUUCCUAUAUAACUGUCUCCAACUGUCAUUUUCACUUCAAGCCACUCCAAUUUAAACUUUCACCCCCUCCCCCACCAGUACUCUCCAAUAUCCUCUGUUUUUAAAUUCAGUGGCCAAUUCCCAGUCUUUACUUGCUCUACCAUUUGGCACAUUACGUCUCUCCUUGAUAGGUCUUUUUACACUUAGCAUGCAGGACUCCAGAUCUAUUGGUUUUCCUCCUACCUCACUGGACUCCCCUUCUCCAUUUACUUUGCAGAUUCCUUCUCCUUGUCUCAAUCUCUUCCUGUUGGAGUUCCCGUGGGUCACUCCUCGUUCCCCUUUUCCAUCUACACUCAAGCAUCUCAUUCAACCUGAGUUUUAAACACCAAUAUGUGCAAAUAACUCCCAAUGUAUAUCCACAGCUUACAAACCCUUUUCCCCAACUCCACACACAAAGCCAAAUGCCUGCUAACACUUCCUUGUGUAUGUCAAAUCAACAUCCUAAGUUUCACAUCAGAAACAAUGACAGAAAGGAAGGAAGGAAGGAAGGAAGGAAGGAAGGAAGGAAGGAAGGAAGGAAGGAAGGAAGGAAGAAGAAAGAAAGAAAGAAAGAAAGAAAGAAAGAAAGAAAGAAAGAAAGAAAGAAAGACUUGAUAUUCCCUCUACACCCAGUCUUCUCCCCCAGUCCAUGUCAAUUUGAUCCUUCCAUUGCUCAAGUCAAAAAUCCUGACAUCAUCCCUGUUUUUCCUCACAUCCAAUUUAUCACUAAAUCCUGAUGGUUCUAUCUCCAAAAUCAAUCCAGAAUCCAAUUACUUUUUAUUGCAUCCACUGCUAACAACUGUAGUCCAAGCUACCAUCUCCUGAACAAGUACAAUCUCUUGUCUGAAUCACCAUUAUAACCCCGUAACUGCAACCCUGGGUCUACCUGCUGCCUCACUGGAGGUGAACACAGCAGCCAAAGAGUGAGCUUUUGCAAACAAACGUUACUCAUGUCCUGCCCUGCUCAAAAUUCUCUACCAGCUCCCCAUUCCAUUCUCAGCACAGACGUCGGUGUCAAACAAUGUCCUACACGGGCCAACAGUGUUGCACACCAGGGAUUCCUUAAUCUUUUUGUGCAUGUGCCAUAGACCCCUUUGGCAGUUGGCAGUCUAUGGACCCUUUCUCAGAUACAACAGAUCAUAAAGGAAACCAACUGAAUUGUCAAAAUAUUUUUAAUUGUAACACAGGAACAGAUGCAUUCCUUUAUUAGGUCACUAAAUAAUAAGAUCGAGUGGCAGGCCUAACUACUAACAUAAUUCUGAUGUGACGUGGUGAUGAACAAAACCAUAUUUUAUGAUAGCAACAGCUAUAAUAUAACAUGACACUAUCUGUGAUUUCUAUUUCUGACAAGGUCACAAAGGUUUUUGGCCUACGUUUGUGGUUGAAAGAAAUGUUUGAUUUCAGUUAGAUGUUAUUAUUAAAGAUAAAAAUGACAUUUUUUUUUAUCCAAGUUAAUAAACCCCUGAAAAUUCUAUCCUAGACCCCUCAAAGGUCCUUAGAUCCCAGGCUAAGAAUCUCUCCUUCUGGCUAGUGGAUUAACUGCUCCAGUUAAACAGACCAUACCAUGCCCAUCCCAUACUUAGGAGUCAUCACACUGGCCAUUCCCUCUCCGGGCAUUCCUUUAUCUCUUUCUCUUGCCUUGUAUCUUUGCUCAAAGGUUGUCUUCUCAAUGAGUCCCACCCUAACCACUCUAUCUAAAACUGCAACAAACCCUACUACCACAGUCCCAUUGCUUCUUAUCUAGCUUUCCCCCCCUCCCGCACCAUUUAUCACCAUCUAAUAUGCUAUAUAAUUUAUUUACCAUAGUUCUUUAUUAUCUGUAUUCACUAUUCCCACCCGUCACCCCCAUGUAAACUUCUUGAGGGCAGGAAUCUUUUUUCUGUUUUGAUUCAUAGAUGUAACUCAAAUGUCUAGCACAUAAUAGCAGGCGUGUAGGAAGCAUUCAAGCAACACCACCAAACAAUUUCAUUUGAAAUGCUUCAUUUGAAUGUCUAUUAAGUUAAAUACUUUGCAAUUUAAGAAACCAAUGUUAAGAGAUUUUAUCCAUUCAUUAUCACUGUAUAUUCCAUACUCCUUUCUUUCUAUUCAUUCCAAAGUGAAUCCCCAUUUCUUAGAAAUGUUCCUUUAUCUUGAAGGGAGACAGCAUGCUAUGAACUGACAUGUCUGUCAGUUCAAUAGCACAAAAUAUUGGUUCUGUAGCCAACUGCCAAGGCUCAAGUAUUGGCUCCUCUCUUUACUAGUUUUGCAAAGCCCAAGAAAAGUAUAUAACUUUAACAAGCUACAAUAGUCUCAUCAGUAAAAUAAGGAUAAUUAUCUACUACACUGCAUUAAAAUAAACAUUAAAAUCGAAUUAUUUAAUCCAUGUACAUUUAGUCAUUUCUGUAUGUCUCAGGAGAUGUAAAAAUUCAUUACUAUUAUCAAUAAAAUACGGAAAUACUAA